AUUCAGCUGACGAGUCCCAAUUUAGAUGAAAUGCACGUCCUGGAU
rfam:Schistosoma mansoni strain Puerto Rico chromosome W, complete genome